GACGAACGCUGGCGGCGUGCUUAACACAUGCAAGUCGAACGGAAAGGCCCUGCUUUUGUGGGGUUCUCGAGUGGCGAACGGGUGAGUAACACGUGAGUAACCUGCCCUUGACUUUGGGAUAACUUCAGGAAACUGGGGCUAAUACCGGAUAGGAGCUCCUGUUGCAUGGUGGGGGUUGGAAAGUUUCGGCGGUCGGGGAUGGACUCGCGGCUUAUCAGCUUGUUGGUGGGGUAGUGGCUUACCAAGGCUUUGACGGGUAGCCGGCCUGAGAGGGUGACCGGCGACAUUGGGACUGAGGUACGGCGCAGACUCCUACGGGAGGCAGCAGUGGGGAAUAUUGCACAAUGGGCGGAAGCCUGAUGCAGCAACGCCGCGUGCGGGAUGACGGCCUUCGGGUUGUGAACAGCUUUCGCCUGUGACGAAGCGUGAGUGACGGUAAUGAGUAAAGAAGCACCGGCUAACUACGUG
rnacentral:rRNA from 1 species